rnacentral:rRNA from 1 species
GACUGAACCGCGUGGACAGAAUGCGUUAACACAUGCAAGUCUACGUUGAGUCCUUACGGGUGAUGGUGGCGGACGGGUGAGUAACGCGUAAAGAACUUGCCCUGCAGUCUGGGACAACAUUUGGAAACGAAUGCUAAUACCGGAUAUUAUGUGAGUUUCGCAUGAAAUUCAUAUGAAAGCUAUAUGCGCUGCAGGAGAGCUUUGCGUCCUAUUAGCUAGUUGGUGAGGUAACGGCUCACCAAGGCGAUGAUAGGUAGCCGGCCUGAGAGGGUGAACGGCCACAAGGGGACUGAGACACGGCCCUU